rnacentral:lncRNA from 1 species
GGAGGCUGAGGCAGGAGGAUUGCUUGAACCUGGGAGGCGGAGGAUGAAGUGAGCCAAGAGCAUGCCACUGCACUCCAGCCUGGGUGACAGAGUGAGACCCCAUUUCAAAAAAAAAAGUGGGGGCGGCAGGAGUGGCAUACAUGAGAAACCUACAGCAAACAUACCUAAUGGAUUUUAGAUCUGGGAUCUUCACUGCACAACACACUCUGUGUAGCUUCAAUAUGGAACUUAAAGGAUGAGAACUCCAAGCAAGAAGAGGAGUCCAGAAGACAUUUCAAACAAGGAAACAUGAUGAAGAAGGGCACAGAAGUGGGAAAAUGUGUACCAUAUUCAGACCAAUGAGCAAACGCUGUCCUCCCCACAAUAUGUAUGAAGGGAAUGAGAGGAGAAAAAAUUAAAACGUGAGUUAAAACCUGUGGCAGAGACUGCUGGUUCUUUGCCCCAGAAUACAUUAUUCUCCUCCUUUUUAAAAAUAGAAUACUGAUUUUUUGGCUAGAUACAGGUAGAAUAAAAGAGCACAUUUUCUCAGCCUCCCUUGCAGCUAGAGGUAGCCAAGUGACCGGGUUCUGGCCAAUGAAAUGUGAGAGGAAAAGCUCUGUGAGACUCUGGUAGUCUCCUUAAAGGGAAAAGGAAUGUAGCAAAAUAUAAACAAGCAAACAGAGCCAAAAGUCUGUAAGGAAGAGUUUUGGUAGAGACACCUAGAGCAAGAUAUGGGAAGAUGAAGAACAGACUCUGCCUCUGCUCAGCGCAAAAUGCCAGCUGUGAGCCUGUGGAAAACAGGGCUUCAAUUAGAAGACAAAAGGGUUGCUUUCAUGAGGAUUUUGUGAUACAUUGGAGCACGGAUGGCGUGUUUUUUUGUUUUGUUUUGUUUUUUGUUUUCUUUAAUGACCGAGUAACAAAGGGCAACAUACUGAGGAAGGUGCGUUUUCUCCUAAUUACUCCAUGAGGCAAUGUGGUUCUAGAGGAGUGAAAGCUAAAUGUGCUGCCAUUUUGGCACCUCACAGGUUUGCAACUUUGGAAUGUUCUAGAAAAAUAUCAACAACGGUCUCAUGAAGAUUGGCAGAGAACAAGGAGACACUCUUACAUGGUAGAACCCGUUAUGAGCUCAUAAAAGCCCCCACAAAAUAACAGAGAAGAAACUGAGUGAUACCAGAAGUAACUGAGAGAGACUUGGAACAGAGGGUCUGAAGACUUGUGUUAUGGAGGAAAAUAUAAAAUCAGCCACUGAAAUGUGACUUAUUGCUAUUAAUGUCAACUUGUUUUCUCACAGAUUAUUGGGGUACAGUGACCACCUGCUACAUAAGUGUCAGUAUUCCUUAGACGAGAGCCCCCACUAAAGCAACAAAGCAAAAACAGCCAGAAGGAUAAGCCAGGACCUGAGAUUGCCUUCCUGGGCAUGAGAGAGUGAUUGGUCAGUGAUGGUGACUCAUCAAAGUGAAAAUGACGAGUAGUGGUGACCCCAAAACAGAAGGCAGCUACGUUGUAAGGAAAGAGCCCUGGACGGCUUUGGAAAAUCCAGACCCCUGGGAAGAGGAUAGCUAAAUGUCAGGAGCCUCAGAGGGGUUUUUGGCACCUAAGAGAAGAUGAAAAUGUACCUUCACCUUGACCAGUAGUGGUCAUCUCUCCACACAAAUUGAUUUAACACGCUCCAUAUUCUCUAGAGCAGGAAUAACUUGAGAUUCCCAGAGCCAUACUCAAACUGCAUGCAAGUCUGAAACACAUUUUCCCCAUAACCCUCAGGGCAGUGAGGAUCAAUGGGCCCACCUGCUUUUUCUACUACUUUGUUAUCACAUCUGAUAAAACCUUGAGGGCUCCUGACUGCCCAGUCACCUCCAGGAGAGACUGCAACUUGAGCUCAGAGGACUGAGAGUCACUUCUUAUUUGCCAUUAAUUUGUAUUUGUUUAGUGUGCCAGUCAUGGUAAUCAUCUUAAGUUCAAGGUUUUUGCUUGUGGUUAGAAAGGAAAGCUAUCGUUAAGGAUGUGGUCAUUCUAAAUUAAAUCUUUAAUUCUUUUUUUGAAGUCUGGUGUUAUACAGUUACCUGUCACUCAAGGAAAG